UAAUUUGAGAGUUUGAUCCUGGCUCAGGACGAACGCUGGCGGCGUGCCUAAUACAUGCAAGUCGAACGAACUCUGGUAUUGAUUGGUGCUUGCAUCAUGAUUUACAUUUGAGUGAGUGGCGAACUGGUGAGUAACACGUGGGAAACCUGCCCAGAAGCGGGGGAUAACACCUGGAAACAGAUGCUAAUACCGCAUAACAACUUGGACCGCAUGGUCCGAGUUUGAAAGAUGGCUUCGGCUAUCACUUUUGGAUGGUCCCGCGGCGUAUUAGCUAGAUGGUGGGGUAACGGCUCACCAUGGCAAUGAUACGUAGCCGACCUGAGAGGGUAAUCGGCCACAUUGGGACUGAGACACGGCCCAAACUCCUACGGGAGGCAGCAGUAGGGAAUCUUCCACAAUGGACGAAAGUCUGAUGGAGCAACGCCGCGUGAGUGAAGAAGGGUUUCGGCUCGUAAAACUCUGUUGUUAAAGAAGAACAUAUCUGAGAGUAACUGUUCAGGUAUUGACGGUAUUUAACCAGAAAGCCACGGCUAACUACGUGCCAGCAGCCGCGGUAAUACGUAGGUGGCAAGCGUUGUCCGGAUUUAUUGGGCGUAAAGCGAGCGCAGGCGGUUUUUUAAGUCUGAUGUGAAAGCCUUCGGCUCAACCGAAGAAGUGCAUCGGAAACUGGGAAACUUGAGUGCAGAAGAGGACAGUGGAACUCCAUGUGUAGCGGUGAAAUGCGUAGAUAUAUGGAAGAACACCAGUGGCGAAGGCGGCUGUCUGGUCUGUAACUGACGCUGAGGCUCGAAAGUAUGGGUAGCAAACAGGAUUAGAUACCCUGGUAGUCCAUACCGUAAACGAUGAAUGCUAAGUGUUGGAGGGUUUCCGCCCUUCAGUGCUGCAGCUAACGCAUUAAGCAUUCCGCCUGGGGAGUACGGCCGCAAGGCUGAAACUCAAAGGAAUUGACGGGGGCCCGCACAAGCGGUGGAGCAUGUGGUUUAAUUCGAAGCUACGCGAAGAACCUUACCAGGUCUUGACAUACUAUGCAA
rnacentral:rRNA from 1 species